UCGCGGUCAGAGCGUCUGAUGAUGUUUGUGUUGUUUUCUGCUCGUGCUCAGACUGCAGCGAUGCGCUUCAUCCGAGUCUGUUUUUAUUCCCUAAACCCGUCGAUCACAACAAUAUCGUGAUUUAUCCACCAAUAUCUGUCUUUGCUCAUCGAUGGUCGUAAAAUGGCGAGCUCUUCCUCCAGACCUUCAGCUCAAGGAGGCACAGAGACGGACCGUCUGCUGACCCCUGUGACGGGAUACGGCUCCGGCGAUCUGAACGGUGGGCGUCCCGUCCUGGACGUGAGCACCCCGGGGUCACAGCCGCGGGCCGAGGAAGAGGAGGAGGCCCUGAGGAGGAAGCUGAAGUACUUCUUCAUGAGCCCGUGUGAUAAAUACAAGGCUAAAGGCCGCAAACCCUUCAAACUGGCCCUUCAGCUGCUCAAGAUCAUCAUAGUCACUGUACAGCUGGUGCUGUUCGGUCUCAGUAAUCAGAUGGUGGUGGCGUUUAAGGAGGAGAACACAGACUCCUUCAGGCAUCUGUUCCUCAGAGACUAUGUGGAUGAUCCGGCCGAGCCGCUGUGUGUCCACACGCAGAGAGACGUCUAUGAUCACAUUCACUAUGCCAUCAAGCAGUACCUGGUUCUGCCGCAGACGUCGGUCGGCAGGUACGCAUACGUUCGAGGUUCGGCUGAGAAUGACAGCGCUCUCUAUCUGUGCCAGCGCUACUACAGGAAGGGCACCAUCGACCCGGUUAACGACACCUUUGACAUCGACCCUCACAUCGUCACCGACUGUAUCGGAGUGAAUCCACCACUGGACCCCUUCAAUCCACCGCAAGACCACUACAAGAACAUCACCCUCAAUUUCCAAAAGCUGAUUAAUGUGACUAUCCAGUUUCAGCUGAAGGCGAUAAACAUCCAGACGAUUAUCAAUAAUGAGAUUCCCGACUGCUACACCUUCUCCAUCACCAUCCUGUUUGAUAAUAAGGCUCACAGUGGGAAAGUCAAGCUGAGUUUGCUCAACGAGGCGUCCAUUAAAGAGUGCAGAGACACCAAUGUGUCGGGACACGCGGACAGUUACGCGCGCGUGGCCUUCGAUGUGCUGGUGGCGGUGGUCUGCGGUCUGUCUCUGGUGUUGUGUGGACGCUCCAUCCUCAGAGGAAUCGUCCUGCAGAACGAGUUUGUGUGUUAUUUCCGUCAGUCUCUGGGCCGCUCGGUGAGUUGGGGCGACCGUCUGGAGUUCAUCAACGGCUGGUAUCUGCUGCUCAUCAUCAGCGACGUUCUCACCAUCAUCGCCUCCUUCAUCAAGAUCGCCAUCGAGACCAAGAACCUGUCGUCGUAUGACGUCUGCAGUAUUUUGAUGGGAACCUCCACUCUGCUGGUGUGGGUCGGCGUUUUACGAUACUUCAGCUUCUUUCAGAAAUACAACAUUCUGAUCGUGACUCUUCGAGCUGCGUUUCCAAGCGUGAUCCGCUUCUGCUGCUGCGCUGCUGCUAUUUACUUGGGCUACUGCUUCUGUGGCUGGAUCGUCCUGGGACCCUACCAUGCUAAAUUCCGCUCUCUCUCUACGGUGUCCGAGUGUCUGUUUUCUCUCAUUAACGGAGACGACAUGUUUGCAACGUUCUCGGAGCUGGAGCAGAGCGGGAUGCUGGUGUGGGUGUUCAGUCAGAUCUAUCUCUACACCUUCAUCUCGCUCUUCAUCUACAUGGUGCUGUCGCUCUUCAUCGCACUCAUCACCGGAGCCUACGACACCAUCACCCAUCAAGCCCAUGAGGUUCCUCAGGUGUGUGAGCUUCACCGGUUCAUCGCCGAAUGCACCGACACACCGACCUCCGGAAACUUCCACAGCCCAGAGCCGUCCACGUGCUCGCUCCUCUGCUGCUGCAACUAGAGAGACUGUGCUUGUGAAGGGGAUUCUGGGUAACAUUCAUUACUCAUCUCGCACACACAGGAAAGGAGGAACACGCUCUUCUUUGUUAGUUUCCAGGUUGUUGCUGCACUCACAGAGCAUCUCAGCAUGCAGCUUUUAAAUCUGUUAUAAUUAAUGAGAUGAAUGUGUUUUUGUGAGAGUCGCCUGAUGGUUUUUAUUCGUUCACAGCUGUGUAUUUUAUGAUUUUAUGAUUUUAGGCUUUUUUUAAUACAGUUUAACAUGUUAAGAUAUUAAUGCUUUGUCAGCAGAGGAGCGUUAUAUGGAUGAUAAUGUCUUUAUUUCUUCUCUAGUCAGUGCUUUGUUUCAGAUGUUUCUCCACACGAGUGAAAGUGUGUGUGUGUGCGCGUGUGUGUGUGUGUGUGUUUUACAGGAAGCAUAGCUUGCAGGUUUAUCUUGUCAUUAAUAUUAAUGUGGUUAGUCUAUCGUACCUGUCCCUGCUGCAUCUGCUCCUCUCAAACACACACACACACACACACACACACUGAUGUUUGAGAAGCCUUGGGCAUCUUGAGAGCUCUUCUCUGCUCAUCAGGGAGGUUCUCGACUGACACAGACAUGCUUUGAUUGUUGUCUGUGUUUUUGGUCGAUGGCGAGCUAAUAUCUGUCUAUUAAUGCCUAGCUCCAUUAAUUGUUAGUUAUUAGCUGGGUUAAUUCCUUUAAAGCAUCCCCAUGAGGGACCGAACACCAGCUGGAUCUGAAUGCAGGACUGAACGGGAAUGUUUGCAAUGUCUCGUUCUGAUUGCGGUGUUAUUUAUGAGCUCUCGGUGUGUUAUAUUCGUGAUGUUAGUCAUGGACUUCCAGCUUGUGGCAGAUUAACAUCAGAUCCGUUCAUGUGUGUUUCAUCGAGCGCUCUGAAACUGAUUAGAUUUGUUGUUCUGUCGUGAGGAGGACAGCGGCUUUGCUUUUAUGUAAUCGUUUCUUACCCAGAAUGCCUUUUUGAUGUAGUUUCAUGACAUACAUUGAGUUUACUGCUGUUAUUUGGAGGAUGUGUGAUUUAAAGUACUUGAAAUGCUGUUUUGUUGAAUAUUUUAAUUUAUUGUGUCUAACUGUAAGCUGAGAUGCAUUUGGCUUUUGUUUCUCAUAAGUGGUAUUCUUGUUUUUUAACAAAGGGAUUAUUUUUUUUUUUUUACAAUGCACAAUUUUGCACAUUUUUAAGCUGGUAAUUUAUUUGGAGAGACUAUUCUGAAUGUGUGUUUGUGGUUUGUGUAUGAGUUGAUAUGAAUGCUCUUCAUUAUGAUCAUAAACACAGACUCGUUUUAACACAAAUCUCAAAUAAAACACAUCUGUGAAUGUCAACAUCAAA